rnacentral:rRNA from 1 species
UAGACCUACGGGAGGCAGCAGUGGGGAAUAUUGCACAAUGGGCGAAAGCCUGAUGCAGCAACGCCGCGUGAAGGAAGAAGGCCUUCGGGUCGUAAACUUCUGUCCUUGGGGAAGAAGAACUGACGGUACCCAAGGAGGAAGCCCCGGCUAACUACGUGCCAGCAGCCGCGGUAAUACGGAGGAUGCGAGCGUUAUCCGGAUUUAUUGGGUUUAAAGGGUGCGUAGGCGGAAGGUUAAGUCAGCGGUCAAAUGUCGGUGCUCAACACCGGCCUGCCGUUGAAACUGGUCUUCUUGGGUGAGCGAGA